rnacentral:rRNA from 1 species
UACAGAGGUGGCGAGCGUUGUUCGGAUUUACUGGGCGUAAAGGGCGCGUAGGCGGUUCCGUAUGUCGAGUGUGAAAUCUCCGGGCUUAACCCGGAAAGUGCGCUCGAAACUGCGGUACUUGAGCACAGGAUGGGAGAGCGGAAUUCAAGGUGUAGCGGUGAAAUGCGUUGAUAUCUUGAAGAACACCGGUGGCGAAGGCGGCUCUCUGGAAUGUUGCUGACGCUGAGGCGCGAAAGUUGGGGGAG